rnacentral:rRNA from 1 species
AACAGGAUUAGAUACCCUGGUAGUCCACGCUGUAAACGAUGUCGACUUGGAGGUUGUGCCCUUGAGGCGUGGCUUCCGGAGCUAACGCGUUAAGUCGACCGCCUGGGGAGUACGGCCGCAAGGUUAAAACUCAAAUGAAUUGACGGGGGCCCGCACAAGCGGUGGAGCACGUGGUUUAAUUCGAUGCAACGCGAAGAACCUUACCUACCCUUGACAUCCAGAGAAUUUGCUAGAGAUAGCUUAGUGCCUUCGGGAACUCUGAGACAGGUGCUGCAUGGCUGUCGUCAGCUCGUGUUGUGAAAUGUUGGGUUAAGUCCCGCAACGAGCGCAACCCUUAUCCUUUGUUGCCAGCACGUAAUGGUGGGAACUCAAAGGAGACUGCCGGUGAUAAACCGGAGGAAGGUGGGGAUGACGUCAAGUCAUCAUGGCCCUUACGAGUAGGGCUACACACGUGCUACAAUGGCAUAUACAAAGAGAAGCGAACUCGCGAGAGCAAGCGGACCUCAUAAAGUAUGUCGUAGUCCGGAUUGGAGUCUGCAACUCGACUCCAUGAAGUCGGAAUCGCUAGUAAUCGUAGAUCAGAAUGCUACGGUGAAUACGUUCCCGGGCCUUGUACACACCGCCCGUCACACCAUGGGAGUGGGUUGCAAAAGAAGUAGGUAGCUUAACCUUCGGGAGGGCGCUUACCACUUUGUGAUUCAUGACUGGGGUGAAGUCGUAACAAGGUAACC